rnacentral:lncRNA from 1 species
GUUUUUUUUUAAAUUCAGUGGAAUAGCGAAGCAAAAAUUGUCAAAGACAAAUGUUUAAGGGCCAUCUGUUCAGUCUAGUUUAGCGCACACGUCUCUAAGGAGGCAGCUAAAUCCCUCACAGUGACGUUGGCAGGGUCAGCGUACCCACCCAGUUCACCUGUAAGGCGUGCCUCUGCCUGGAUCCCUCAAGAACCAAACCUGCAAUUUGGUUUCACCUUACAGGUGAAUACUCAGGUCCAACAGGUUUCUGAAGAAUAAAUCAGUACUAACUUACACCAAAACAAUCAUAUGAAGCAGUCUUUUUAUUACAGGGGCAGCUUAUUUUACAAAUAGUGGCUUUCAAAAUGUUCUGAUGUCACGAUAUAGAAUAAGUACGAGUCUGGUAUCAGAGAAGGGCAUUUCACCUUCAGAAGAACCACCUACUCUAAUGUGUGCUUUUGAAACAUAACAUCAUGGCAGAUCAUCCCCAGAAAGUGCCCAUUAGCUCUGUGUGCACUGCUAAGUCCACGUAGUCUUCCGGUGCCUGCCCACACUGCUUACAUAAGCAAGGUCCCAUUUUGCUUUUUAGAGUAUUUUUUACUUAUACCACACUUAUAAAACACAGGGCAUUUUAUAAGUGCAGGGGACCAGUUAUUCCUGGGAAGAUGGGCUUAGCCUUUACCGUCCUCUUUUUCUUCUUACACCCAUCUUUUGUCAUUGUUUAUUCUUAAGAGAAAGAAGGAAAUCUCAAGGUAGACCAUUCUUCCCUCCACUAGCGGCUAAGUGUCUCAGUCAGGCAGAGUCAAGCCAGUUGGUAAAAUGGGCUGUUCAUGUGUGGGUUUCAAUCUGUCACACGGCCAGGCGCAGUGGCUCACGCCUGUAAUCCCAACACUUUGGGAGGCCGAGGCGGGUGGAUCACGAGGUCAGGAGUUCAAGACCAGCCUGGGCAAGAUGGUGAAACCCAGUCUCGACUAAAACUACAGAAAUUAGCCAGGCGCAGUGGCAGGUGCCAGUAAUCCCAGCUACUCGGGAGGCUGAGGCAGGAGAAUCACUUGAAUCCAGGCGGCAGAGGCUGCAGUGACCAAGAUCACACCACUGCACUCCAGCCUGGGCAACAGAGUGAGGCUCUUUCUCAACAACAACAACAACAAAUCUGUCAAACGUCUUUUCAUUUUUUAUUUUAGCUUUCCUAUGGUGCUGACAGUCAAACUUGUUUACACUCUUAUUGCUGCAGUAGAAAGAGCACUGACCUCCCGGUCUUUGCUCAUUUCCUGCAAGUUUCAACAUUUUACACUGCUUUUCUGAAAAUUGUCUUCUUUGCUCGUGACAUUAUGGGGCUCACUUUAUUUUCAUUAAUGUUAAUGGAGUCACACAUUACAUAACAUGUUCUGUAAAUAAAAUGACUCUGUAGUGACUGUCACCUCUUGAUAGAUUUUUUUUUUCAUUCAUUCAACAAAUAUGUAUCAAGCAUCUGUGUGCCUGGAACUGUUCCAGCACUGGAGACACAUCAGUAGACAAAGCUGAUGAAGAUUCCUACCUGCAUGUCCUUUCUCUUCUAGCAUCAGCUUUUAAGAAAAGCGUCAUUUUACUGAAUUCACACCAUGGUAAAAACAAUUUGAAUAGCCUUUAAGUAUAAAUUGUAACUUCUACACUCUUAAAACGUCAUAACCAAUAUUUUGUAUAUCUUACGUUAAAUUUUGUGAAUGAGACCAAGAGUGGGAGAGGGAAGCUCUCUUCUCUCCUUUCUUCCUCUCCUUUGAGCUGUACCAUCUUUCUGUGUGUUUGGUGCAGCAGAGAGCUGGGAGUAGGGCCCCCCUUAAGGUAGAACUGCAAGUGGCCAAACCAGAAAGCGAGAGGGUUUAGCCCUUGGCCCUGCUGCUCGGGCUGCUCUGUGGCUUCUCCACAGAAGCAUGACACACAAACCAGGUGGUUUGAAAGUUCUUCGGCAUGUAAGACUGAUACUGUUGGGGAGAACAGUAGUUGGAAACAGUGUGUCUGCCUAGUAAAUGUCCUUUAUUUGGCAUUGAUCAUCCUGCUUCUAAAGGAGGAGAGAGCAUGCAAACCCCUCCCACCCAGAGGGGUUUUGAGGGCCCCUUGUGUGGAGGGAGUUUGGGUGUGCAAUGAACUUCUGCCUAGUGAGUGGAUGGAUACUCCAGGCAGUUGGUGCAAUGCCCCAACCUGGAGCAGGCUGGAGUCUCUUAAUAGUCUGUAACCAAUUUAAAGCUUAAUAAAGCUGCGCAGCUUUGGGGGUAGAGAUAUUUACGGUUCACCACAGAGCCCACGCUGGGAUUUAUGCAAGUAGAUUCCACCUGUGCCCUGAGCUCUCCUUGGCGGGUGCCUUCAUCCCCGGGAUGGACAGAUCCUCGCGUGCAUCUUAGGGCUGCCACUCACCAAGCGCAUUGUUCCUUGUUUUGAGUGGGCUUUUUAACAUGUGCAGACAUUGACUCUAAUUCUUCACGUAUUUGCUUUUUGCUGUUGGUGGCGCUGGACUCUGUGCUAAGUGUGAUUUGUUUUUAAAUAUUGCUUUGCACACUCUUCUGUAUUGUGGCAAAUCCACAUCAGAUCCCCUUGUGAUGUUUAUAUGAGCUCAGGCUGUGUUUUCUGUCCAGCCACUUAAUGAGAUUUUUUAUUCUCACUAAAUCACAGAAAUUUUUAUUUCUGUGAUCUUGUAUGAUACAAACAUGUUAUCACCACUAGCACUGGUGAAAAGCAUGUGUUGCUUAAUUGUGUUAUAUUAGGUGGGAAAAUCAGCAAAGCUUUAUUCUAGUCACAACUUCCCAGAAGCGUAUACUGUAAGUUCCAUUUCUUCAGACUUGAAAGCAAUAAAAUGGAAAUUUUUAGUUCAGAUGUGGUUUAAUCCCGAGAACCCGUCACCAUCAACUAGAUGCAUUGGCC